GAGGGAAGCUGAUAUAGGCAUCUCAGUAGGGCUUCAGGCCACUAAUGUAACCAAAGAGAGCUCUGACAUAGCCAUAUUGGAUGGUGAUUUUGUUUCUGUUGUCAACGUUUUGAAGUGGGGGAGAGCUGUGUUUAACCAUAUCCAGAUAUUUGCUCGGUUCCAGCUCACAGUAAGCAUUACUUCACUAGUGAUUGACUUUGUGACAGCAGUCUCAGCUAGUGAGCCACCGACCAUCAAAAUUGUAGCAUCUAUCUCAUCUGGAGAAAUCCCAUUUGCAGCACUACAAGUUUUGUGGGUCAAGUUGAUCAUUGGUACAUUGGCUGCUCUGCCUCUUGCUAUUGGGAAACCAUCUA
rnacentral:misc_RNA from 1 species